UGCAAGAAAGAAAACUCUUGUCUAUAGUUGAUUGUAAGGCUUUUCGUCAUCUUGUGCAUCUGCUAAACUUCCUCCACUCUUCUCGUAAUUAAGCUUCCUUUAUGACGCAAUUGCAAACAUCUUCCAACCAUUUAAUCUUUCAAUCAAAGUCUUCCUAGCCAACAUUCAAGUGGUUAUUAUCUAAUCAUUCACGAGCAUCUCUUCAGUGAUUGAUAGCUCAUGGUCUUGCAACGCAACAAUCAAGCUUUCAUUAAUUGACUACCACAUACUCACCAAUUCACAUUGGUUUAGUAUCAACCAAUUACCGAAUUAAUCUUUUUAUAAAGCCACAUUAAGGUAGCCGACAACUUUUAAAGUUUAAAAUUACACGUAUGUGGUAGCUUCCCAAAAGGAUUCAAACAUGUGAGGAAAUUUCAAUCCCAAAAUUUCCCUAACUCUCUCAUACCACGACGUUUCGCACUACAACGUUUCACGCCAGAAAGUCCAUCGCUUCCAAGAGAAUGAAUAAACGAAGCGGAUUCAAUUACAAUGUCACUCCAUUGUCUCUAUUACCUUCUUAACAAGCAACUCUCAGUAUCCAAUUUCUGCUAAUUCGCAUAUGUCUCAAACUUGAGUACACGUUGAUGAUUCCAAAUCCCUUACUGUACAAUGGCGUAACGUUGCAUACCGAGACGUUUCACUCCAAAAAAUAAAGCGCUUGGUGCUCUGUUCUAUCAAUCAGAUGAUGGCCUUGGUGCUUUUUCUAUCAAUCCUGUUGGCAAAUAGUUCAGAAGAAUGUUAAUGGGUUUGUAGUGGCUUUCUUUGACGGAGCAGCUAUCUCUAGGCUUAUCUCGCACACAUGCUUGGCUAUUUGCUCUAUAUGUGCCAUAGUGACCAAUUGCCAGUGUUGAUCAGUUUAUUGUGUGUCAUUGCUUCAUACUGAUACUCAUAUGUGCAAUGGAUAUUGGACUGUUAAAAUGGUUGUACUUCCUAUUUUAAAUGGUUUAUGUCUCCGUCCAAAUAAUAGGGAAGAAAGCAUGUUUAGAAAAAAGGACACGAGGUUUACAACUUAUGAUUGCCGAAUCGAGAUUCGAGAUUUUUCUGCGGCUUCCCUUGGUUGGAUAUUGUAUAUUCCUGCUUGAUCCUAACUUUAAUUUCUUUCUCUCAAUAGCCUGCUGCAACACUUUGGAAGAACAAGGAAGAUAAUUCAGAGGCUUUCUCAGUUAGGUUGUUAGGGAUAUCAUGAAAGUUUUGUUGGGGAACUUUUGUUUUGGCUGAAGAUUGAAGAGGGAGGUUUUGGAAAAAGUAAUAGCACACAAGCUGUGGAAGAAUGGUACAGGCAGAUGCCGAUAUUCGCCCAUUCAUAUAUCACUGCUUCAAUUGUCACCACCAUCGGUUGUUCUCUUGAGUUAUGCUACAUAUUAAGGAAAAGCAUUAGAUUAUCAAGAUUGAACCUUUAUAUAAAGCACGGACAAUAAAUGCUGACAUGACACCUCUCUUUGCUUAGGAAUCAUAUUUAUCCUUUUUGUCAUUUUUUUUUGCUUAUUUUCCACAAAUAAAAAACUGAAAAGUCGCUUCUUAUAAUCCUGCUCAAAACACCUCCAUCUUAAACGCCUAACGGAUAUCUCUUUUAGCACCGGUUACACAAUACUGACUCGCUCCAUACAAAUGUUAAACAAUCAAUCUCCAUGGGUCGGGUGUCGAAAACUGCACAAUUUCCUGCUCUAUCAGCUAUCAAAUUGCUCUAUCAGGCAAGUCUCCAAUUCUCUUAUUCUUCUCGCGCUUUUUGUUUUUGUUGAGUUGAUUCAUGCGUUUGUUUCUUUCAACAUUGAUAAUUCAAUUUUCUGUUAGCAUUGUCUCUGAAAUAAUGAAUUUCAAAGCAUUUUAGAACUGCAAAACUGAUUUUUUGUACUAAUAUUGAGUGAGGACCGAGGAUGAAUGUGUUGGACUAUGGUGUCUAAAAUCUAAAGAUUCUUAAGGUUUCUUCACUUAGUUAUACUCUGAUGAAUUCUUGUGUUGGUUUUAUGAAAAUCGAAAAUUUAAAUGCUAAACAAAUUGUUCGAACCAAAACCUUCUAUCCUUGAUUCGUUUUAGGACUUCAUUCGCCAGACUUUGAGAACGUCAUCAAAGCAUCGAUAACUGUUGUAGUAUUAGUUUUAUCACCUUCUCUUGGGGGUCUCUUGCUUAUGCUUAUUGUAUGAGGAAGACUAUUGUGGUUGAGAAAAACGUAUUAUCCAUCGGUGAGGCUAAGGUACCAUAAAGUUAUUAUUGCAAGCUGCCAAAUAUUAUUGGCUUGAAUUUUAUUUGAACUUGCUCUUUUUUACUUCCUAAUUCAUUGAGCCCGGGUUGAGUCGGUUGACCUAUAAUUUUUCAAAUUCUUACAUUCUGCUUUCAAAAAGAAUACUAGACAGAUCAAGUUGUGAUUUUCUGUGAAAAUUCUUUCUCUUUUCUUUUAAUUUUGGUCUGGGCAGAUGUUGUGACUCUUGCUGUUUAUUGGGGAAGCGCUAUAAUAGUGCCGGUCUGAUCCUGAUAUAAGUUUACAAUAGUUGUAUGUUUCAAUUAGGUCUGCUCAAGGUUUAUUUGAUCGAAGUUGUAGUAGUUGUUGUAGUUACAUGGAGGAACGUGUCAGAGCGCAAAGCACCUGAAAUCACUCUUGCUAAAAUAGCGCAAAAGCAACAUAGUAUUCGGGAUAGAACCAUGAGAAAUUUGAGUUAGUGAUUUUUUCAGUUGAAGAUAGUAGCAGAAGAUGAGCGAGAGUUUCUUUUAAGAUUUUCAUUUGUUAUCAUGGAGGUUCCUUUGAUGGAUGGAAGAAGCAGUCUGAUCUGAAUACUGUCCAAAGGUAAGUAUCUGUUAACCUUACCUGUUCAUAUCAUGAAUGGAGUGUCACAUGCAUAGCAUUUCAUGUGGCAACUAUCUUGAGCAGAUGAUAUAUUUUUGAGUUUAACAUUCUUUUAGCAGCAUGAUGCUCACAGUUACUUUAUAAAUCGUUCAUAUUGUAAAUGGUUAUGUUCAAGUUGCUGGAUUCUUAUGACAUCUUAAGUGAAUCUGUAUCUUGUAGUUUACUUUUCUGCUUUCAUUUGCUUAUCUAAUGGGGAUAUGGAGAUGUUAUACUUUGCAUUGUAAGUUGUUUUUCAAACUACAUUCUUUAGGCACCUCCCUGUUGCAGCUUUAGAGAAGGAACUGUUAAUGAUAAUAAAAGCAAGAUUGUGAAAAAUAUAGAUCCUCAUGGAAGAUAUGUUAGAAAUAGUUACACAUUGAAUUUCAAGACAUUGAUAAUAGCCGCUUGGUAGAUCAGUUACCCUUUGGCAUAGGCUAUUCAUCAAAUAUUUUAUCUACUGGACCGUAUAGUUCUUCCUGCCUAUCGAUAAUUCAAUGCAGAUACUUUAGUUUCAGAGUUCAAAAUAUUAACAUGAGAUUGAUACAAUGAAGCUCACUAUGAGACUCAGUAUUUGAGUUGUUGGUAAUUUAAUUUAUCAAGCUUAUGACAAAACUAUUUAUUUAUCAAUUCGAUGAGGUUGUGGUUGACUUGCUAUUGCACUGAGAAGAAAACAGAGAGGAGCUCAGAAGCACAACAUGAGAAGGAGAAGAUUGAACUGCCUGCUGAAGAAAAGCAGAAUGUUGAAUUGCCACCUGAAGAUUGAUCAUUUUACAGGGUGAUGAGUUUAUGACAACGUCACUCACCCAAUUCACAAAGAACCUGAACGUGAGUUUCUUACAACACAAGUUAGUUGUAUAACAGGGAAAAAAAACUGGAGGACACAACCCAGAGACUAUUCAAGCCUGAGGAUCAUUUUUUAAUUCUUGAUUAUUCAAUCUUAACUUCUCUUUCUUUUUUGUUUGUCUAAUCUUCUGAACAAUCACUUUUGUAAGAUCUUUUCUUUUCUCUUUAUCUUUGUUUAUUAUGAAUAAUUCCUACCUCAUUGUUUUUCUUUCCUCA